CACAAAUAUUUUAAUUGUAUAUUUGUAACAUAUAUAAUUAUAAUAAUUUCACUUUUAUUGAGAAUGAUGGAUUUCACUGAUGCUCGAAAAAAAAGAAACUAUCAAUAAACUGCACAGUUCAAAACGCUUGGUCUAGAAACUUGAAAUUUUUCUCAAAGGUUCCUUAUAACAACGUUUUUCAACCAUAUAAUCACGACCAAAUUUUGGGUUAUUAGAUAAUUUCGAAUGGGCCAC